rnacentral:rRNA from 1 species
AGGGGGACCACCCUCUAAGCCUAAAUACUCUUCAGUGACCGAUAGUGAACUAGUACCGUGAGGGAAAGGUGAAAAGAACCCCUAUUAGGGGAGUGAAAUAGAUCCUGAAACUGUAUGCUUACAAACUGUCGAAGCCCCAUGUGGGUGACGACGUACCUUUUGUAUAAUGGGUCAGUGACUUAAUUUAUGUAGCAAGCUUAAGCCGUUUAGGUGUAGGCGUAGCGAAAGCGAGUCUUAAUAGGGCGAUUAGUUACAUGGAUUAGAACCCGAAACCGAGUGAUCUAGCUAUGAGCAGGUUGAAGGCAAGGUAAUACUUGCUGGAGGACCGAACCAGUUGACGUUGAAAAGUCUUUGGAUGACUUGUUGCUAGGGGUGAAAGGCCAAUCAAACUCGGAGAUAGCUGGUUUUCCGCGAAAACUAUUUAGGUAGUGCGUUGAGAUAUAGAUUUUGAGGGGUAGAGCACUAAAUAGGCUAGGGGGAAGAAAUUCUUACUAAACCUAAUAAAACUCCGAAUACUCAAAAUUGUUCCUCAGCAGACAGACGGUGAAUGCUAACGUCCAUCGUCGAGAGGGAAACAACCCAGACCACCAAUUAAGGUCCCCAAGUUAUGGUUAAGUGUGAAAGGAUGUGAAGACUCCAAAACAGCCGGGAGGUUGGCUUAGAAGCAGCCAUCCUUUAAAGAUAGCGUAACAGCUCACCGGUCUAAUUAAGAGACUUUGCGCCUAAGAUGUAACGGGGCUCAAACCAUACACCGAAAUUGUGGAUUGAUAGAAGUCUUCGGACUUUUAUUUCUGGUAGCGGAACGUUCUGUAAGCCUGUGAAGAGAGACCCGUGAGGGCUCUUGGAGGUAUCAGAAGUGCGAAUGCUGACAUAAGUAACGACAAACAGAGUGAAAGACUCUGUCGCCGAGAGUACAAGGGUUCCUGCGUAAAGUUAAUCUUCGCAGGGUUAGCCGGCCCCUAAGACGAGGACGAAAGUCGUAGUCGAUGGGAAUCAGGUAAAUAUUCCUGAGCCAGGUGGUAGUGACGGAUCAUGUAAAUUGUUAACUCUUAUUGGAUUGAGUUAGCUGUGAAGUGGUCCCAGGAAAUAGCUCCAUCAUAAGACCGUACCCCAAACGGACACACGUGUACCGGUAGAGUAUACCUAGGCGCUUGAGAGAAUGAUGUUGAAGGAACUCGGCAAAAUGCUUCCGUAACUUCGGGAUAAGGAAGACCCAAUAAUGGGCAACCAUAUUUGGGUGGCACAAGCCAGGGAGAAGCGACUGUUUAUCAAAAACACAGCACUCUGCUAACACGUAAGUGGAUGUAUAGGGUGUGACGCCUGCCCGGUGCUGGAAGGUUAAAGGGAGAUGUGCAAGCAUCAAACUGAAGCCCCAGUGAACGGCGGCCGUAACUAUAACGGUCCUAAGGUAGCGAAAUUCCUUGACGGGUAAGUUCCGUCCUGCAUGAAUGGCGUAACGAUUUCUCCGCUGUCUCCAACAUCAACUCAGUGAAAUUGAAUUCUCCGUGAAGAUGCGGAGUUCCCGUGGUUAGACGGAAAGACCCCGUGCACCUUUACUACAACUUUAUAUUGGUGUUAGGAAUGACAUAUUUAGCUUAGGAGGGAGACUUUGAAGUUUUGGCGCCAGCCAAAAUGGAGUCACCAGUGAAAUACCUCUUUUGUUAUUCUUGACAUCUAACUGCUAGCCGUAAUCCGGCAGCAAGACAUUGUAUGGUGGGUAGUUUGACUGGGGCGGUCGCCUCCCAAAUAGUAACGGAGGCGUGCGAAGGUAGGCUCAGAACGGUCAGAAAUCGUUCGUAGAGUGCAAUGGCAUAAGCCUGCCUGACUG